CAGAAUGAUAUAUAUAUUUCUUGAUUAUGUUCUUAACCCAAGAUGAGUUUUACUUUGUUUAAAAAAAUAUGUUUAAAUAGCAAGGUUGAAAGAUUGCUAUGUUUCUAAAAAUUGUGACAAAUGUCCAUCAAUUAAUGGGUUUUAAAAAUGUCAUACAGCAACUUAUAUGAAAUAUGAAAGUGUGUUUGUUUGCUAUUGUAAUUAAUUGGGCUAUUGAGAAUUUUGGGGAUAUUGAUAUUUACAUAUUUGUACUACUGUAUUUUUAAAAAAUGAAAAAUUGUUAACCUUGUUCAAUUCAUUUGCCUUCUACUCACAGUGGAGCAUGGCCAGAUAUUAAGAGGAAAUGGAUCUCAUUUUUGGAUACCAUACCAAAGGCAAGAAUGUGGAGAAAACAGGAUGCUUUAGGGAAGACAAUGGAAUUUUACAGGUCAGAGAAUUAAGAAACAAAACAAAAUUUCCUGACAAUUGAAACUAUACAACAUGAUGAUUGAAUGGAUUCCUUUUCACUAAUAGUCUUCAAACAAAGGUUGGCUGCUGGAUCAAAAUUUUUUGGAACAUUUUUGGAAGGUAUGUCAAUAAGAAAAAAGAACAAAAAGGUCCCAGCUGUGAGGAUGAGUGAUAGAGAUGGAAGGACUGGCAAUGAUUCACUUUGUUUUGAAACUGAAAAGAGAAGAAAAGUCAGAAAAGGAAGAAGAGACAUACUGUGAUGAAAGAAUACAGCCUUGUGAGAGCUACUGAUAAAUUGAUGUUAUCUGAAUGUUCAGGAGCCAUGCUACCUUCCCAGGACAUUAAUACCAGACAUGACAGAGGCCCUUUCAAAACCUAGCAAAUCUGAAGACUUGUAUCCAUGAUCUUAUUGAUUGAUAAGGGAGUACAUGACACUGGAAGGAUAUGAGAGGACAUAAUUAUAUAGCCUUAAGGACAGGUACUAUUUUCCCUUGAUUUUCCUUGGAAUUUAGUAUGGCUUCUUGAACAUUACACGUUCUUAAUAAAUGUUUGUUGAUCUCAGCCCUCUGAGCCA
rnacentral:lncRNA from 1 species